UUUAAUUGCUACUUUUCUUAUGUGUACUUUUAUAAUUUUGUUUUUCUUUCUAAUCAUUUCUUUUUUGCAUCAUAUACAAUUUUAUAAAAUUUCUUUAUUCUAUCCAUGCUUGCUGACAGUGUUCUUUAGAAAGUCUAGCUCUUCCUGUAGGUUACUGAAGUACAUGCAGAUGAUGAAACACUCAUUCUGUAAGUGCACAGAAACUUGCUAUUUUGUAUCUGUUGUAAUCAUAUGAUGAAUUCUGGAUAUAUAUCAGCAUGCUUAUUGGCUUCCUAUAAAGUUUUAUACUGUAUCUUUCAUUUUCUUUGUAUAUAGCAGUGUC
rnacentral:lncRNA from 1 species